ACUCAAGGCAUUGAUAAUACGCGGAAGUCAAGCCCAGCCACGGGUAUAAUGAUGGUUUAUAACCCUACCACGGGAGUGAAACAUGGAAUACGGCCCAGUCAUGAGUAUAAUAGUGGUUUAUAAUCCUACCACGUGGGUGAAACAUAGUAUAUAGCCUAGCCACGGGUAUAAUGGUGGUUUAUAACCCUACCACGGGGAUUAAACAUGGUAUUAGUUCAGAUAUGAUGCUCUAAGAUGAUAUAAAUAUAAUGUUUCAGUUUGGAUAUGCCAAUGGAUUUUCUUUUUGGGGAAUAAGUUUGUCUUUCUAGAAAUUUCACUAUGAUGUUUUGCACCAAGUUUUGGUUUUUGCAUUUCGAAAGUAAAAUAGGUGUUUCUACAUUCU